rnacentral:rRNA from 1 species
AUGGAGCUCCCGUCCGCGGCUUCCUCGCCCUCCGCCUACAAGCUGGUGGACACGUGCAAGAAGGCGGCGGCCACGGCGGCGUCCGUGACCGCCUACGCCGUGCUGGCGCGCGGCAUGGCGCGGGAGCUCCUGCCGCCCGACCUCUGCGCCGUCGUCAGCUGGGCCGCCUCGCUCGUGCGCGGCCACCUCCAGCCCCCGCCCGCCCAGCGUCGCACCGUCGUCGUCAAGCGCCUGGACGGCUGCGCCAUCAGCUGCGCCAACUUGAACUCCUUCUACGACGACGUCAACGACUACCUCGCCACCAGGAUCGACCCGCAGUCCAUGCGCCGGCUCUGCCUCAGCGGCGCCGGCGCCAGGAAGGUCAUGUCCAUGGACACCGGCGACUCCAUGACCGACGUCUUCGAGGGCGUCCGGUUCACGUGGACGUCCGUCUCGGGGGAAGGCCGCAAAGGCCCGGACUCGCUGGAGCUCACCUUCGACGCGGAGCACACGGACAUGGCGCUGGGCACGUACGUGCCCUCCAUCACGGCCGCGGUGGAGCAGGCGCGGCGUCGGGACUGCAAGCUCAAGAUCUUCAUGAACGAGGGCUCGUCGUGGCGCGGGAUCAGCCACAACCACCCGGCCACGUUCGACACGCUCGCCAUGGACCCGCCCACCAAGCAGGCCCUCAUCGCCGACCUCGACAGGUUCUUGAAGCGCAAGGAGUACUACCGGCGGAUCGGCAAGGCAUGGAAGCGCGGCUACCUUCUCUACGGCCCGCCCGGCACCGGCAAGUCCAGCCUGGUGGCCGCCGUGGCUAACUACCUCCGCUUCAACCUCUACGACCUCGACCUCUCCGAGGUGCGCUACAACGCCGAGCUGCAGAAGCUGCUCAUCGGCAUGCCCAACAGGUCCAUCCUUGUCAUCGAGGACAUCGACUGCUGCUUCAGCGCCACGUCCAGGGAAGGUGGCAAGGAGCGCAAGACGCUGGCGCGGGCCGACUAUGGCCAUGGCGACGAUGACUCUGACGACUGCUCGAACAAGAGUAUCACACUGUCGGGGCUGCUCAACUUCAUCGACGGGCUGUGGUCGACGAGCGGCAAGGAGCGCGUCAUCAUCUUCACCACCAACUACAAGGAUCGCCUCGACCCGGCGCUGCUGCGUCCUGGGCGCAUGGACAUGCACGUCUACAUGGGCUACUGUGGCUGGGAGGCGUUCAGGACGCUAGCCCGGAACUACUUCCUCGUCGACGACCACCCUCUGUUCCCGGAGAUACAGGAGCUGCUUGCCGAGGUGGAGGUGACGCCAGCCGAGGUGUCCGAGAUGCUGCUGCGGAACGAGGACGCCGACAUUGCGCUCCUCGGGCUGGUUGAGUUUCUCACAGCCAAGAAGCAGGGAGGAAAAGAUUCAGUCAAGGCAUGA